GCAGCACCUGAACGCACCACAAGCCCACAGGCGGUGACUUCAACAAGAUCGCUCAACUUAACCACAGACGGUCGGGGGCUUAACUGGUGCGUACCGGUUACUCGAGGGGAGUAACUACCUGGCUAAAAAUUAAUUGACAAAAAUACACAUGCUGCUUUAAUUACUAUAUCCUCAGAAUGACGAGUUCAACGGAGGCGGUUUCGGGCUCUUGACGACUCCGGAGAUAACGUAAGCUAACUUAACUUAACAGUUAGCUUAAAGCAAACGGUAGCUUCGCGCUAAUUAGUUGCCGGUUAACGGUUGUUUUUUGCCCCGUCACACUUUGGUGACUGAAGCCCGCUGACGCUUUUCCUCAUCAUCGGAACAGUUUGGAUUAAUGCCACCAAAAGCCCAAAGGACGCGAGUGAAGCCGACGUCCACGCGUUUUAACGUGGCUCUUUUGUCGACUUCCCGUUCGGUCUCGCCAAAAAGGAUUUCUACUCGAACGGAAGUAAACACCGGACCUUAACGUAGCCUCACCUAUAACCAAGGACCUGAAUGGCCUCCAUUGUUGCAGUGAAAAGUGAGAAGCGACCCGCAGCUGAUUCUCAGGAUGCAGACACAAAUGCCAAAAAGCCCAGGAAACUGCUACCCAGCCUGAAGACCAAGCGGGCGCCGGAGCUCGUGCUGGUGAUCGGCACGGGGGUGAGCUCCGCCGUGGCCCCCCAGGUCCCUGCGCUCCGCUCUUGGAAGGGCCUCAUCCAGGCCCUGCUCGACGCAGCCAAUGAUUUUGACCUACUAGAGGAGGAGGAGAGUCGGCGCUUCCAGAAGCACAUGCAGGAAGAUAAGAAUUUGGUUCAUGUGGCCCAUGACCUCAUUCAGAAACUGUCCCCGAGGACAGGCAACGUGCGAUCCACGUUCUUCAAGGACUGUCUGUACGAGGUGUUCGACGACUUGGAGUGCAAGAUGGAGCACGCCGGGAAGCAUCUGCUGCGCUCGGUGCUGCAGCUGAUGGAGAGCGGCGCCCUGGUUCUCACCACCAACUUUGACAACCUGCUGGAGAUCUACGCGGCCCACCAGGGCACCAAACUGGAGUCUCUGGACCUGACUGACGAGAAGAAGGUGUUGGAGUGGGCCCAGGAGAAACGGAGGUUAAGUGUUCUACAUAUCCACGGUGUGUACACCAACCCCAGCGGGAUUGUACUGCACCCUGCCGGCUACCAGAAUGUACUGAGGAACACCGAAGUCAUGCGCGAGAUCCAGAAGCUGUACGAGACCAAGUCCUUCGUGUUCCUCGGCUGCGGGCGCACAGUGGACGACACCACCUUCCAGGCGCUGUUCCUGGAGGCGGUCAAACACAAGUCGGACCUGGAACACUUCAUGCUGGUGCGGCGGGAGGACGUGGGCGAGUUCAAGAAGCUGCGCGACAACAUGCUGGACAAGGGCAUCAAGGUCAUCUCCUAUGGAGACGAGUACGCCGACCUGCCCGAGUACUUCGAGAGGCUGGCCAACGAGAUCUGCAACCGCGACGUGUCUACUAACGGCUGGGCCUCCUGCGAGUGCCCCAACCUAAUGGGAGUGUAAUACUAAAUCGCUGGGGCGCCCCCUUAAAAAAUGUCUUACUGGUGGGUACUUGGCUGCUUCUGCUGUCACAACCGGGUCUCCUUCCCAAAGUGGGGAAGAACAUCCAAACGGUGUUAACACACAGAAAAGCCUCCUUCAAGGUUAGGACUAAAUGCUUCUUUGAUUUCAGCCAAAGGACACUUCCCACAAUGUUACAAUAAAAGCACAGGCGAAGGCUCUUGUUUUCUUACUACAUGCUGCUAGAUAGAAAACUCAAGGCAGUUCAGUAUCAAAGGACCUGCUGCUGUUGUUACACAAAGAUACUGCAGACUUUGCAGUAUUGCAUGCAUGCCUUUCAGUGGCAACACUGCAGUUGAUGCUCUUUGUUUCUCAUCCUCCCACUUAAGACACUUCCUUCUUCUUUUUGCCCCAGACCAACAUUCGUGACAGGCACACAGUCGGGAUCAGUAUGAGUCAUUUUCCUUCACAGCUGCACCAUCAGUCUACUAUGACUGAUUUAAAAAUUGAUGGGUUUGGACCAAGGGAGACCUAGAAGCUGUUUACAAGUGUCUGGUUUUUACUUGUUUCUGUUACUUCUGGAGUAAAAGGGAAAGCUGCAGUGAAUGUUUGCAAUAUGUAGAUGGAGAAAUGACUGCUGCGUCUUGAUUCAAUAAACAAACAUCACCACGACCUACCGCAUGGUACAGGCAGAAACAUCGCCAACAGCAUCCACUGUGCCUGUUCUUUGUAAGCUUUUUUUACUUGCAUGUAUUUUCUGACAUAGUAUUUAUAAGUACUAUUUUCAAAAUAAAGAUUUUGGUAACCC